GCCAUAAAUACCCUUUGCUACGUAGUACAUAGGGAUGAUCCUCAUUGGUUAAUGACAAGGCAUAGGUGUGGUUUCUCUUAACCAGGCGAGAACAAAGAAACUUGUUUUCCCGCCUAACCUGGGAGAAGCUGGGGUCAAAGAUCAGAGGCCUUCCCAGCUAUGAGCAAUACUGAGCAUGCUCAAGACUGAACAUGCUCUCUUCUAAGGCAAUCUGUACAUACCAACUGUUCCCCUUGCCCAUAGCUAGGGGUGUACUGCUACAGUGAGGCACAGGAAGUGAGGUAGGGAACAACCUCAGGAAUUUGCUGACUUCCUGUAGAGAGGGCUAGACACCAGUUCGUGUUGGAAGCUUGAACAGAGAGGAGGUCCGCAGACAGCUUCCCUUCAGAUCGGUCACGAAUCUUUGGCUUCAGUCUUCAGCUUGGAGCUUCGACUGGUGACUUAUCUCUUGGAGGUGGCUUUGGACUUGGACUUCAGCUUCCAUUUGGGACCUUGACUUCUUGGACUGCUCCUGGAUCUUCUGCUUUGUACUUCAUCUUGGACAAAAUGCAACUAAACCAUAGUGAAUGAAAAGGAAAACAACAAUGAAAAGAC
rnacentral:lncRNA from 1 species